GACAGAGGGGGCAAGCGUUGCUCGGAAUCACUGGGCGUAAAGGGCGCGUAGGCGGCCAUUCAAGUCAGGGGUGAAAGCCUGUGGCUCAACCACAGAAUUGCCUUUGAUACUGUUUGGCUAGAGACCGGAAGAGGUAAGUGGAACUGCGAGUGUAGAGGUGAAAUUCGUAGAUAUUCGCAAGAACACCAGUGGCGAAGGCGGCUUACUGGUCCGGUUCUGACGCUGAGGCGCGAAAGCGUGGGGAGCAAACAGG
rnacentral:rRNA from 1 species